GGCGUGGUGGCCAAGUGGUAAGGCGUCGGUCUCGUAAACCGAAGAUCAUGGGUUCGAAAUCCUGUCCAUGCCU